GACGAACGCUGGCGGCGUGCUUAACACAUGCAAGUCGAACGGAAAGGCCCUGCUUGCAGGGUACUCGAGUGGCGAACGGGUGAGUAACACGUGGGUGAUCUGCCCUGCACUUCGGGAUAAGCCUGGGAAACUGGGUCUAAUACCGGAUAGGAGCCAUUCUUAGUGUGAUGGUUGGAAAGUUUUUUCGGUGUAGGAUGAGCUCGCGGCCUAUCAGCUUGUUGGUGGGGUAAUGGCCUACCAAGGCGGCGACGGGUAGCCGGCCUGAGAGGGUGGACGGCCACAGUGGGACUGAGAUACGGCCCAGACUCCUACGGGAGGCAGCAGUGGGGAAUAUUGCACAAUGGGCGCAAGCCUGAUGCAGCGACGCCGCGUGGGGGAUGACGGCCUUCGGGUUGUAAACUCCUUUCGCUAGGGACGAAGCUUUUUGUGACGGUACCUAGAUAAGAAGCACCGGCUAACUACGUG
rnacentral:rRNA from 1 species